GUGCUCGCUUCGGCAGCACAUAUACUAAAAUUGGAACGAUACAGAGAUUAGCAUGGCCCCUGUGCAAGGAUGACACGCAAAUUCUUGAAGCGUUCCAUAUUUUU
ensembl:snRNA U6 U6 spliceosomal RNA